GUUUCCUUUGCUGAGCAAAAGCUUGUCAGUUUUAUUAGGUCCUAUUGGUUUAUUAUGCUUUUAUUUCUGUUGCUUUGGGAGACCUAGCUGAGAAAACAUUUUGUAACAUUAAUGUCAGAGAAUGUUUUGCUUAUGUUCUCUUCUAGUUUGAUAGUGUCUUGUCUUAUGUUUAAGUCUUUAAGCCAUUUUCAGUUUAUUUUUCUGCAUGGUGUUGGGUAUGUUCCGGUUUCUUUGAUUUACACGUGGCUGUUCAGUUUUCUCAGCACCACUUGCUGAAAAGACUCUAUUUUUUCCCCAUUUUAUGUUCUUGCCUCAUUUGUCAAAGAUUAAUUGACCGUAGCUGUCUGGGUUUAUUUCUGGGGUCUCUAUUCUGUUUCAUUGGUCUGUCUGUCAGUUUUGGUACCAGUACCACACUGUCUUGAUGACUGUGGCUUUGUAACAUUGCCUGAAGUCUAGGAGAGUUAUGCCUCCUGCUCGUUUUUUGUUUUUGUUUUUUUGUUUUUUGUCUUUUUCCCAUUUCUUAGGUCGCUCCCGCGGCAUAUGGAGGUUCCCAGGCUAGGGUCCAAUCAGAGCUGUAGCUGCCAGCCUAUGCCAGAGCCACAGCAACUCGGGAUCCGAGCCACAUCUGCGACCUACACCACAGCUCACAGCAAUGCCAGAUUGUUAAUCCACUGAGCAAGUCCAGGGAUCGAACCCACAACCUCAUGGUUCCUAGUUGGAUUUGUGAACCACUGCACCAUGACAGGAACUCCAUCCUGCUCGGUUUUUGUUCCUCAGGAUUGCUUUGGCAAUUAUGGGUCUUUUAUGGUUCCAUACAAAUUUUUGGAUUGUUUGUUGUAGUUCUCUGAAAUAUGUCAUCAGUAAGGUGAGUCUCUUGUAGACAGCAGAUUGAAAUUUUUGCUUUUUUAUCCAAUCUGUCACUCUGUCUUUUGAUUGGAGCAUUCAGUCCAUUGACAUUUAAGGUAAUUAUUGAUAGAAAUGUAUGUAUUGCCAUUUUAAACUUUGUUUUCCAGUUGAUUCUGUUUCUGCUUUGUUCCUCUCUUUUUUUGGUUGGAUGAUUUCCAUUUAUUUUAUGCUUUCUUUCUUUUCUUUUUGGUUUUUGUGAAUGUAAUGUUUGGUUUUGAUUUGUGGUUGCCCUGAUUUUUAAGUAUGUUAACCCCCUCCUGAAUCUGCUUGCUUUAGCCUGAUAGUCAUAUAGGCUUAAACACAAUAUUAAAAUAAAUCAAAGGAAUCUAUAUUUUCUUACUUUCCUUCCCCACAUUCUAUGAUUUUGAAGUGUUUUUUGUUUGUUUGUUUGUUUUGUCUUUUUGCUCUUUCUUUGGGCCACUCCUGCGGCAUAUGUAGGUUCCCAGGCUAGGGGUCGAAUUGGAGCUGUAGCCACUGGCCUAUGCCAGAGCCACAGCAAUGCGGGAUCUGAGCCGCGUCUGCAACCUACACCACAGCUCACGGCAACGCUGGAUCGUUAACCCACUGAGCAAGGGCAGGGACCAAACCCGCAACCUCAUGGUUCCUAGUCAGAUUCAUUAAUCACUGUGCCACGAUGGGAACUCCUGAAGUGUUUGUUUUUUUUUUUUUAACAUCUUCCUUUUUGUCUUUUUGUUUUUUUUUUUUUUUUUCCUAUUUUUAAAUCUUUUUUCUGGCUUAUUUAAGUGAUUGCUUUCCAAUUGUAGUUUCUUCUAUACUAUUUCUCCUUACUUCUUUUUUUAGAGAAGCCCUUUCAGUAUUUCUUUUAGAAUGGGUUUAGUACUGCUGUACUCUUUCUGGUUUUGUUUGUUGGAGAAAUUCUUUAUUUCCCAUUCUAUUUUAAAUUAUAUUCUUGCUGGAUAGAGUAUUCUAGGUUGCAGAUUUUUUACUUUCAGAACUUUAAAUAUAUCUCGCCACUCCUUUCUGGCCUGUAGUGUUUCUGAAGAGAAAUCAGCUUAUAGCCUUAUGGGAGUUCCCUUAUAAUUAACAUUUUGCUUUUCUCUUGCUGCCUUUGAAUCCUCCCUUUAACUUUUGGCAUUUUUAUUACAAUAUGUCUUGGUGUGGUGCUAUUUGUGUUCCACUUGUUUGGGGCCUUCUGUGCUUCCUGGAUCUUGAUAUCAGUUUCCCUUAGAUUUGGAAAGUUUUCACCCAGAAUUUCUUCAAAUACAUUUUCAAUUCCAUUUUCUUUUUCUUCUUCUUCUGGAAUUCCUCUUAUGCAUAGAUUGGCCCAUUUUAUAUUAUCCCAUAGAACUCAUAUUGCUUUCAUGUUUUUUUUUUUUUUCAUUUGGUUUUCUGUCUGCUGUCCUGAUUGGGUGAUUUCCAUUAUUCUAUCUUCCAAGUCACUAAUUCAUUCCUCUGCAGUAUAAAUUCUGCUGUUUAGUGCCUUAUCUCAGUUUGCAUCUCUGCAAAUGAGUUUUCUAAUUUUUUCUAUGUUCCUCCUUAUAUUUUCUAGUUCCUUUCUAAAGGAAUCUGAAUUACUGUUUAUAUCCACUCUUAUUUCCCUGUUAUUCAGCCUUAGUUAUUCCCAGUUAAUUCCUUCACUACUUUCACUACCUCCCUUUUGAACUCAAUGUCUGUCAGACACCAUAGGUCUCUUUUAUUGUUUGUUGCUUCAGGUGAAGUCUCCUGUUCUUUUAACUGGGUAUGGUUCCUGAAUUUCUUAACCUUGCUUAUGUUUUUUUUUUUUUUUUUCUUUUUCUGUGAGUUUAGGGAGGCCAAACUCUAGUCUAGUCUUGGAGGGCUACUUCUAUGCAAGAGUGCCCAUUUGUAUUUUGUGGGGGGUUGCUAUUUGUUUUUGGCAUGGGAAUUUGAAUAUUUGCUCUCUCUUUCUUUGGUGUGAGCAGGCUGUUAUCCCCAGGUUGCUGAGUAUGUUUCCAGGGAGAAGGAGGCAAUGGGUAGGGCUAGUAGUCAGUGUCUGGUUUUUGGGCUCUUAACAGCAUCAAGGACCUGCAGGAAGAUGGCACAAGCUACUCCUAGUUUCAGGGCCCUUGGAAAUGAUAAUGAGCCUAGAGCAUUCAGCAGUGUCAGCUGCAGGGUGUGUGAGUUCCCAGGGGAAUGAGAGCAAGAACAGGUAGUGUUUGAUUGCAAUGCCGUCCUCUGAGGUGAUUGGAGCUGCAAGUUCUUCCUGUUCAUGGAUUCCCUAGUGGUUGUGGGCCACAUCCACCUCUGGAGUCAGUGAUUACUGUGAUGGCUUUCCCCUACCACCUGUAGAGCAUGCGAGAAGCACCCCAUCUCACUUAGCCCACAUGGGAGGUGCUUCACAGGCUGCUCCUAGUUUUAGGAUCCUGGGAAAUGACAGUGAUCAAGCGUCUGGGCACUGCCUGGAGCAUUUGCCAGUGGCAGCAACAGGGCUGGUGUGCUCCCAGGAGUACAAGAGCAACAACAGCCAGUGUUUGGUCACAAUGCCCUCCUCUGUGGUACACUUGAAGUGAUUGAGACCACAGAUGGUGCCUGUUCAUGGAACCCUAGUAGUGGUAGGCUGCACCCACCUCUGGAGUCAGAUACCUGUGGUGGUUUGUCCCCACCACCUGUAGACCAUGCAAGAAGCACUUUGUCCCACUUAGCCCCCACAGGAGGUGCUGCACCAGUUGCUUCCAGUUGUAGGUUCCUGGGAAGGGACAGUGAUCAAGUAUAUAUAAGCCACACCUCUGCUCUAACCUCUGGACCCACCCCUACCCUCUCUCCAUAAAAGGAACCAACUCAUAACCUACCCUCACCCCCCAUGUAAGGAACAGGACUCUAGGAGACAUUCCCAGGGUAGGCCCUUCCCCUAUAUCCUCUGCUUUAGCUCCUCUCUGAAGAAUAAACUGUAUCUGGUUGGAGGUUUAUAGGAACUUAGUGUUCUGACUUUUGUGGACAGCUACAAGAACAAUGGAUUUCUGCCCCCAAUAAGUUUGCAAUAACCAAUCCCACCCCUCCCUCACCUUGUAUUUAAAAAUGCUUUGCAAUUUUGGCUCAGGAUAUUUCAGGGGCACAAGACACCCACCUCCUUGUAUAGCCUGCAAUAAACCUUCCUCUGUUCCAAACACUUGAUGCAGGCACUUCAUACCCGUGAAAGAAAAGUUAUAUUUCUUCCCCUUCUUUUUGAAAUGAAUACUUCAAAAUUGAACAGCUUAGAGUCUUUCCUUGUCCUUCUCCUGGACUUAGUUACACCCUAAGCACAGUUACCUGUAAACUAAAGAUUAGGUACCCUGAGCAUAAUUGCCUGUGUGUUAAAAAUUAUCAGUACAUGAUGUUUUUCAAGAACUUUCCUAGUUUGUUCUAAUCUCUGAUCAAUAUGCCCUUUUCACAAAUACUGUUAUUGUAGGCAGUACCCCAGAAGACCACCAUUAUGGUCAGGCCAAGAUCUCCUGACUCCAGCUUUGAUGACUAAGAUUCCUCUGAAGAAAGAAUAAUGCAUGUUUGUCCCAAUCCUGAUUCCUAUCUGAAAACCUGUUUUUCUCCUUUUUACUAUAAAACUCCUUGUAAUUCUUUCUAAGGGAGGGGGCACAGUCUUUAAGUCAUUAGCCUGCUGUGGCCCUCCUUUGCCUGGCAAAGCAAUAAAACUAUUUUUUUUUCUCCUUUACCCAAAACUCUGUCUCUGCAUUUCAAUUUGGCACCAGCAGACAGAGGCCAAAUUCCAGCAACACACUGACUUUCAGUUUCUUUGGCCUUACUGUGCAUCAGGCACACUGACUUGCAGUAACACCAGCUAGCCAGCAAGCAAGGGAACCUCUUUGUUGUCACUCUCCCUUGCUACUGCAAGAGCCCAAAUGAAGUCUUGAUUCAAUUUUCCCAUGUGGCAUCUUAUCAAUUUCCAUUGAUUAAGAAGGUUAACCCCUCCCCAAAUAGUAACAUUCUGUGGUGACACCGCAUUGUCCCCUUCUUGGGAGAGGAUCUGGGCACCUCCUGGACCACAAAAUGCAGCUUCCCCAUGAGUAAAAAGCAGCCACCUGAACCUUUCAUUUCAGUGUCAGCACAUUUGGCAAAUCUGCCUUCCUGGCCCCUGAGGGCCUAGGUACCUUCAUUCAAGCAAUCCCCCCCCUCAACUUUUAUUCUCCUUUGUUGACUAAAAAAAUACAACCUGAAAGUUGAGAAUAUCUGGUGUGAAAUUAGGACUUAAGCCCAGGAGACAGCAUCUCAGGUAGCCCCGAGAAACUGCUCCAAGGAGGCAAGGGAGGAAGCUAGUAUAUAUUAGUUUUUGCAAUAAUGAGGAGGUAGUAGGAAGAAAAGAUUUACAGAUAACUAGAUUUACAGAAAACCAUUUCUAUAGGAAGACAUAAAUGUCUGGGCUUACUGAAAUCACUCCUUUUAUAUACUUUCCCGAGUUCCCUCAGGGCUCAUUAGCCCAACCUUGGGAGUGGCUAUUCUCACAGGUGACCAUGACAUCUUUUGUUUUGCCCACUAACUACAUCCCAGGAGAUAGUAUUUCAGAUAGCCUCAAAGAGGAAAGGGGGACUAUCAAGAUAUAAGUCAUAAAGGUGAAGGGGGAGGUUUAUGCAGCCAAGCACACAAUAUACAGAAGUUUUCUGCCGGUCUUGUGAAGGUUACUAUUAGUCACAGACACUAGUCAUCAUUGUGGGUUUUAGUGUUUUUCUAGAUAUGAGAAGAUGUAAGAUUUCAGCUCAUAUACUCUUCUCCUGAAAAUAUCUAACUAUCUGAAGGCUCUUUCUUCCAGUUUUCCCAGAGCACAGAGUGCCUCACUCCUGGUCUCUACCCUGAGCUCCACUUAGGGGGUGCUGCAGGUGGGCAGCUGCAGUGGCUCAUGUUCUACUCCAUGCAGAGGCUUAUGGCAAGUGCCAAACUUCAAUUCACACUUUCCCACAACAUUUUACCUUUCCCCUUUGUCCCUUUCUCCAGAUAUCUCUCUCUCUUUCCCACUUUCUCCUUCCUCCCUUCCCCCUCCCCUCCCCUUUCUUCUCCUUUCCUCCCCUCUUCUUCCAAGACAGUGGCCAUCCUGCAGAUACAGCAUCAGUCCUUUCAGUUUGUGAGACCUGUUCCCUCUGGCUGGCAAUGGCUCAUCUUAAAUGGUGAUGGGCAGAGGUGGGAGAGGCUUGCCUCACAACAUGCAGAGACAGCUCCAGCAGGCUCUCCCUGACUGGAGAUGUAUGAGAAUGCUAGAGGUUCAAACCUCAUUCCCCGUAGUGGCUGGAAGUCUGAUCUCAUUAUUCUAACCUUUUAUUUUCUUGCCACCAAGAGAAGUCCCCUUGGUAAUGGGCUGAAGUAGCAGAUUUCUAUAUACUGAUGAUGACUGAUCUAUGCAUGGGUGAGAGUCCCACCAGUGGGCUUUGGGGACCCAUAGAUGACAUGGAGCUGGCUGGUUUCUGGGCUAGAUCACCCCAGUGAGCAGUGCACAGGGUGCUCCCCUUAUCACUGGCCCUUUCCGGAAGUGCACAACUUGGUCCUAGAUAGACACUGGCAGGAAGCAAUUUGAAAGGGCAGUCUCUCUCUUUCAGUUUUUCUCUUUUUCAUAUUUUCAUGUCCCUCUUCUCUUUAUCUCUUCCUUUGUCCUCACCCCUAUACUCCUGUCCCCUUAAUCCUUAAAACCUCCUGUUUGUGUCUUUAAGUUUCUGUCCUUGGUAUCUUUGUUUUAUAUAGCUUUGUCUGUACAACUGCUCCUGCAUGUCUGAUAGUGUGGUGGAGCAUUUAAACUUUGAAAUGCAAAUGCAGCCAGCAGUGCCUGAAACUACAGAAUUAGUUUACUUAGUGGGAUCUUAAAAA
rnacentral:lncRNA from 1 species